AAAAUAUAUUGUAUAUGAAAUAUCCAAAGUUUUGCCAAAAUAGCGAUUACUUGCCAAAACGAGAACUUCUAAUGUUUGUUUGCAGAGAGCCAAAUUCUUCUCUUCACAUUUAAACGAAAACUUGAACUGAAAGCUAUGAUGGAAUGCGAAUAUUUUUAGGGAUUUAAAUAGAGUGAACGUGGAUGAUAGUUACGUUAAUGCUUGAAGCAUGAGAUUCUCAACUUCUGGAGCCACGAUCAAGUUAUGAUUUAGAAAUCUGUUAUCUUGAAUUAAUCAUCUUACUUAUUUUGAUUCAAACUAUUGAUGGAGUGUGACAAGAAGCUAGCUAACAUAAGUUCAAGAAUGUGAGAAAAAAGAAAAAAAAAAAACCUAUGAAAUAAAGAUUUGGAACAUCAUGAAGUUCUACCAUGCAGUGGUGCCAGCUGUUUCCAAGUGGGGGACCAGUCCCCCAAGGUUGAAGAAGGUGAUACAUUUAGGGAGUUUUUCCCUCGCUCUCUUCAACAUGGGAGAUGGUUCACGCACUAUGCUGACCAGAUGACUUUGUGCCCUCUAGUACUCAUAGUGGGAACCAUCCUAGUUUUUGGUGUGUUAGUCGUAGAAUCAGUAGUUUGGUCCAAACACUGACAGUCUUAACGACCUGAGACUGUGAGGUUUGGACCAAACACUGACAGUCUUAACGACCUGGGGCCUAAGUGUUUGGUCCAAACACUGACAGUCUUAACGGCUAGAGACUGUGAGGUUUGGACCAAACACUGACAGUCUUAACGGCCUGGGAUCGAAGUGUUUGGUCCAAACACUGACAGUCUUAACGACAAGAGACUGUGAGGUUUGGACCAAACACUGACAGUCUUAACGGCCGGUGAUCGAAGUGUUUGGUCCAAACACUGACAGUCUUAACGACUAAAGACUGUCAGGUUUGGACCAAACACUGACAGUCUUAACGCCUGAAAACUAGGUGGAGUCCUAGUACUGAGUAGUAGUAGGGAACCUUUCUAUAUCUAUUUCACUGACAGUCUUAACAAGUUCCAUGUCAAUUAUACCAAACAAGGUCAUCUGGGAAGCUUCUAAUAAAUUUAGACAUAAAUAUGUGUCACAAAGAAAUGCUGGUGCUUUUCUGAAACUGUGAUACAUGCAUCUAAGAACAAAUCCAUAUGUAGCAUCUCAUUCUAUCUUGCAUAUGAUUGAAUGCAGCAUGAAUUACAUUAGUUAGUAUUUGAAUAUGUUACAAGUGUCCAUGUUCUUCUAAAUAAAAUGAUGUUUAGCUUUAUCUUUUAAAAAGAAAAUGCUGUGUAUGUGUAAAUAAAACUUUGAGUGUGGUUUUACAUUUUGUUCCUUUUUCCUUGAAAAAAUGUUAUGGACAACUAAGAGAAAUUUCAGGAUCAGAGGCAAUCUAAUUUUUGUACAAUUCUCAAGUUAAGAAAAAAAAAAACACUAAUCAAUUUUUCUGUGACAAAUGCUGCAUCA